UGCUGGAAGCCCCAACACAAUUGUUUGGGAAUAAAUGGAAGUGAGGAAUGGAGAAGUAAGGAGGUACCACUCUCAAGGAGGCUGUCAGUAGAGGGGACAAAGAGUGUGAGAGAGGAACAGAAGAACCAAGCAGGAGACUGGAAGAGGCUGCAUACAGAAGGGCAGCAUCUGCCCCACCUCCCAGAGCUUCGCCAGCAAAGGCCAAAUCAAACAGCGGCCCAGAGCAGAGGGCUGGCCAGCUCUACAGAGCCAGCAAACACCAGAGGGAAAUCACCCUGGAUCCAUAUCUUCUAACCUUUGCCUCUGUGAGCAUGUUUGGGAAGGAGACAUCUAUGAGAUUGCAGGAGCCAAUUCAGGCUACAUGCUUAUAGCUGCAAUUGAAAAAUUAGGCUAGAAUGCAGGGCCUCCCUGAAGAUAUUUCUGAAAAUCAUGUACUUCCUUUAAGGGAUUUACAAAUCUGGAGUCCUUCCAAAACAGGACAAGUAAGACAUGAGCAGUGACUUUCUACUCUCCAUCCAGCAGCCAACAAUAGACUUCGUCAUUCAGAUGGAGCUGCAGAGGUACAGACCUGAGAGAGCUGGAAGUCAUAGAGCCAAUCCCAUGUAUUACUGACGAGGUAACUAUGGCUCAGGGUGACUUGACCUGUAAGCCACAAGCUUGUGGGUGACCACUCCAGGCCCUGAAUGGAGGAUUUCACUCCAUCCCCCUGCCCCACAAGUGGCCUCUGAGAGACAGAGUACCUGAUGCCACCUUAUGUGGGAUAUUGUUUUUGCUGUCACGAAUUUCUGAAUCCCCUCUUUGUGGAAUAGAGAAAUCAAAGCCACCAUACGUUCAAGGGUAUCCACUAAAGAAGCCACAUGGUUACUUCAGCUAAAAAUAAAUUAAAGACCUAACAAUGAAUUAUCAUUUAUCUAA